AACGCACAUUGCGCCCUCUGGUAUUCCGGGGGGCAUGCCUAUUCGAGCGUCAUUAAAUCCAUCAAGCUCUGCUUGGCAUUGGGCCUCGCCGUAAAGGCGUGCCUUAAAACCAGUGGCGGUGUCACCCAGCUUCAAGCGUAGUAAUUCGUCUCGCUAUGGACACUGGGGGAACGCUUGCCAGUAACCCAUAAUCUUUCUUGAUUGACCUCGAAUUAGGUAGGGAUACCCGCUGAACUUAA
rnacentral:misc_RNA from 2 species